ACCUCAGUAGUCCAGUGGUUAGGAUACCUCGCUUUCACUUUGCCGCAGACGCGCCCAGAGCGAAGCGCCGAGAAGACCCGGGUUCAAUUCCCGGCUGGGGUG
rfam:Rhodotorula graminis WP1 unplaced genomic scaffold RHOBAscaffold_3, whole genome shotgun sequence.